AAGUCGUAACAAGGUUUCCGUAGGUGAACCUGCGGAAGGAUCAUUAGUGAAUAAACUUGUGUGGGUUGCUGCUGGCCUCUUCGGAGGUAUGUGCACGCCUGCCAUUAUUUCAUUCUCCCUUCCACCUGUGCACUAACUGUAGACCGAGCUUGCUGCACCAUUCAGGCAUUCAUUUGUGUCUGGCGUGAGGACUGCUUUGUUGCUGUUCUCGGGCGGCUUGGUCUAUGUCUUUAUCAAACGCCAUUGUAUGUGAUUGAAUGUCUGUUCUGGGUUCUUUACAGACCCAUAAAACCUUAUACAACUUUCAACAACGGAUCUCUUGGCUCUC
rnacentral:misc_RNA from 1 species